UGUCACAUAGUACCAGUGUGUCUUUUUGACAUCUUUGUUGGAACUGAUUGGCUGUAUGGCUUGGGUUUGUUCAUCUUCUGUUCCAUAGUGUACAUGCUUGGCUUUGUGCCUUCCAGUAUACACUUACUGUUUAUACACAUGCAGCUGGUAUGUCUGAGGUCAGCAAAUGUGGCGUGUCCAGCACUGCUCCGUCAUUGCUCUUGCUGCUUAAGGCUGAUAGAUUGGCUGUUCAGUGUCCUUCUGCUAGUUCCUUUAGGACUUUUUUGGAUUUUGUCAAAAGCUUUUUCUGUAUCUACCCAUGUGGUUUCUGUCCUUAAAUCUAUGUGAUGUAUUAACAUUACUGAUUUUUGUAUGUUGCAUUUAGAUCUCUAGAUGUUCACUUUAUCAUGGUGAAUGCUGGUUUUUUUCUUCUAAGUUGUUGACACUGCAGAAAUGGGUACUGGUUUAAAACUUGUUGCUCUUUUAGAUGAUCCAGGCUCCAUUUCUAGCACUCAUAUUCUAGCUCACAACCAACCCAAACUUCAGUUCAGGGGAUUUGACACCCUCUUCUGACCUCAGCAGGCACCAGUCAUGUACAUGGUAUACAGCCUUACGUGCAGGCAAAAUACUCAUGUAAAUC
rnacentral:lncRNA from 1 species